UACGGAGGGGGCUAGCGUUGUUCGGAAUUACUGGGCGUAAAGCGCACGUAGGCGGCUUUGCAAGUUAGAGGUGAAAGCCCAGGGCUUAACCCUGGAAUUGCCUUUAAAACUGCAUCGCUAGAAUUGUGGAGAGGUAAGUGGAAUUCCGAGUGUAGAGGUGAAAUUCGUAGAUAUUCGUAAGAACACCAGUGGCGAAGGCGACUUACUGGACACAUAUUGACGCUGAGGUGCGAAAGCGUGGGGAGCAAACAGG
rnacentral:rRNA from 1 species